rnacentral:lncRNA from 1 species
AAACAAUUUAUUUAAGUUUCAAUACCUUUUGGACAAAACGACGAAAGAUAAUAGCUGAUGUUGAAUAUUGCCUAAAAGAUCUAACCAUUAAAUCAAGCAAUAUUUCACAUUCACCAGAAGAACUACAAUCAUUGUAUUUAAAAAGUAUAUCAGAUCGAAAACUUUCAACUGAGAGUGUUAUUCCCUCAGGCGCAAAUAAUAUUGAUUGUGAAGUGAACUCUGACAGUAAUCUAUUGAUAUUAAAUAUUGGCAUUAGACAAGAUAAUAGCUGUGGCAAGUAAAGGAGGCCAGACUUUAAAGGAGGCUGUCCAGAGAAUGUCUUUUGCGUUAUUCACUAAUAACCUCUGCUAUAAACUUAACUGGUCUGGUAUUACUAUAAAUGACAAUGAAAGUAACUUUGUAAAACAAAGACUUACACUUGCUUAAAAGAGCUGUAAAAAGAAAUCCUGCAACAACUUCAGCAACUGAAUCAGAUUUUCAAUAUGAGGUUGUGCGUUUUUUGCGUGGUGCAUCAGACCGCAAUGGCGGAAAAAAGUUAGACAAGACCAAAAAAACAAACAAGCCAAGAAAAAAGUGAUGCCUACAUCAAGUUUUUAUUAAUUAAAUAAAGAGGCAUUUUUUAGUUCAGAAGAUGAAUAAUAUUGUUAAAUAAAAUAAGCAUCUUUAUUUAAAAAUUUGUUACCUUUAUUUUGUUGAAAACUAUUUUAUAUAUUUUUAAAUAUUUUAAUUUUUAAACUCAAUAGAGUAAAGUUUUUGUGCAAUGAGUAUUACUGUUUCUGUGUUUUUCAUAUUCAUUCCCUUUUACAGUAACCUUUUGUAUAUGAGAUUGUAAAUGAAAAUUUAAAUCGUGAUAUUGAAUCUUGCCCGAGAAUAAAGUAAGGAAACCUCAACCAGAGUUAUAUUUCAUAGAAUUAUGUUGACCAUGAUCCAACUAUUGCCAUGGGUAUAAGAUAGAUGUUUGGUUUGCAAACUGGAUUUAAAUCAUACUUUCUUUAAACAUAUUUAUUUGCUCUUUAUAUGCUUUCAAAUAAUUUAUUAGAAAAAAUUAUAUUCUUAUUUACUAAACCGUUUUAUUUCAAUCAAUUGUUUGCUUUUUUAUAUUUUUCAAGGAGUUUUUAUAGUAUAUUAUAUUGGGCUAUGUUUUUUUUUUUUGUAUGGUGAAAACUAUGUUCAAUUUACAAACUAUAUUUUAGUUUAUCAAAACAUAUUUUUAUUGAUGUGUUUUUCCUCUGAUUCUUUAUUUUUCAGAUGUGCACUUGUGUCUUAGGCUUAUGCUUUGCAAAAGGUUCACCAUUGCCCUUAAGUUGCUGUGGGUUUUACGGUUUUACUUCCAACCUGGCAUAUAAUAUCUGAAGUUAUUUGUCAAUAACUGGUGAUCAGACUAUUUCAAACGAAUACGUUUUUAAGGUGAAAGUUAGAAGUCUGCAGACUGCAACGUAAAUCAAUUUUCAACACAUGGUUUCCUGAAUAUAUUUAGUUUUCGAUUGAAAUGAGAAUAAACUGAACUUAUAGAUAUGUUGAAAAUUAACUAUUUUAUAUUUUAAACAUUCGCUAAACGCAAGUGAAGCAAUAAUCUAUAGAU